AGGCCUAUGGGUUGUAAACUUCUUUUCUCAGGGAAGAAUUUUGACGGUAUUACAGGAAUAAGCAUCGGCUAACUCUGUGCCAGCAGCCGCGGUAAGACAGAGGAUGCAAGCGUUAUCCGGAAUGAUUGGGCGUAAAGCGUCUGUAGGUGGUUUGACAAGUCUCCUGUUAAAGAUCAGGGCUUAACCCUGGGCCGGCAGGAGAAACUAUCAGGCUAGAGUUCGGUAGGGGCAGAGGGAAUUCCCGGUGGAGCGGUGAAAUGCGUAGAUAUCGGGAGGAACACCAAAGGCGAAAGCACUCUGCUGGGCCGAUUUUUUUAGUAUUUUAGUAAACUUGUUUGCUAAAAUACUAAAAAAAGUACUGA
rnacentral:rRNA from 1 species